rnacentral:lncRNA from 1 species
CCAUUAAGGCCAGGAACUGCAGAGCAGCGUCGCUGAAAGGGAGUGAUGGGGGAUGUUAAUUAUAACAGAGAGAGUCACUAUUUAUUUUUUGUAGUAGUGCCAUAUGAAUGUAUCUCGGUUUUACAAAAUGGGUGCCUUGUUAUAUUAUUUAUGCCUUGAAAUCCCUGUUUUCUGGGGGGAUUUUUGACACUAGCCUGGGUCUGCGUAUAAAGAAAUGAAUUGUAAUAAUAUAAAGAACAACGAUGGGAAAUCCAGAGUGUGGCUUCCAGGGGGUGUUCCCAGCAUGAGAAGUGAUCCCAAGGAGGCUGACACAGGGAUUUAGCCAAGUGGGUCUAAGGCUUCCUCCCUGUACGCAAACCCUCCUUUCCGUGAACUCCUCAUGUCCUCAUUUGGGAAGAAUCCAGUGGGUCAGUAAGAAGAUAAGUAGGAAAAGUGACCCUUGGCUGCGUCAGUGGAGGCAGAGCUCACUCUGGUGACUGCUUGUGCCUUUUGGAGCUCGAUAACCCUGCUGUUGGCAGGAGUGUGGAUGAAACCCAGCCUGUCUCACCUUCCCGCUUGCAGAAGACGAAAUCCAGCUCAGCUGCACCUUUAACUCCUUGGAUUGAGGGAACAGCGACGGCUUGAACAGGCUCUGCCAUGAGCAGAGUCGUGUCGGAGCAGCUCCCACCGCGCUGCGAGAGCCCUGCCUGCCCCUCGGAUCCAGCAUGAGGGUUGUGCAUCCAUCCUGAUUCCUGCAGGGAUGUGGUCCUGUGCCAGCAUCCUCAACCCCACACCACAAACCCACAGCCUUUGACUGCCACCUACAACGGAGCCACUGCAAAUCCCUGCUUCUCCCACCUCAUUCAUCAUCUCCUCUCCUCGUCCCAGCCUUCUCCAUGUGCUCCUCUCUGGAUUUCUCCCUUCACAAGAUCCUGCUGUGAGGCUUUUCCCUGGCUCCCGACAGAGACUGGCGGGCAAAUUGGUUGGGAUUUAACUCGGGCCACUUUGUUGUCCCCAAACACUGAGAUUUAACCACAUUUAAAUGACCUCUCUUCAGUCAGACCCUGCACGGCUCCCCUUUAUCACGGUUACGUUGCAUAAAGACACUAUAUUUUCCCAAGAAGCUGUAAUUUGAACUGGAAAUGGGAUGUGUUUUGCAAUGAUGUUGGUUUUGCAGGAGUUUGGGGUAGGAUUUUAAGGUUUUUGGGGUGGUUUGAUAAAGGAAGUGGUGCUGAAUUAUGGCCAGAGUGGGGAUUGAUACCCCACAGGCACUGAAGUGAGGUUGGUUCCCAUCACUUGAUACUUCCCAGUGGGUUAUUAACCAAAUACAGGAGAAAUGGCUGGAGAUGCACUGGUUCCUCAUGCACACCACAGGAUGAG